GGAAAACAAAUCUCUUCUUUGUACAUCAUGGUGAAAACCAUGGAACUAUGGCCUUAAUUCUUUUUUUGCUUGAGGACCCAGAAGCUCACCACUAAAUGACCUGACUCACCCAGCAAUUUCAGACUGAGUUCUCCAGGGUACUUCCUCUGCUGAGUGACCUUCAAAUAAAGGAGGAGGCUUCCUAGUGCUGUGCCCAGGAAGAGCAGCGAGGACAUGAUACACGAGUGAUGUGCAAGGAGUACAAACCUCCAACAGUGAUGACGAACAUGACUUUGGAGUGAGCUCGCGUUACUCUGCACUUUGGAAUUAAAUUUUCACUGUUCACAGGCUGCCCAGUGACCUACUCUGCUAUGGAAGUACUUUAUGGAGGACAACUGUAUCAC
rnacentral:lncRNA from 1 species